rnacentral:rRNA from 1 species
UUAGCGCUGUGGAACCACCCGAUCCCAUCCCGAACUCGGAAGUGAAACGCAGCUGCGCCGAUGGUAGUGUGGCUCAAGCCAUGCGAGAGUAGGUCAUCGCCAGGGU